rnacentral:rRNA from 1 species
UGGGGAAUAUUGCACAAUCGGCGCAAGCCUGAUGCAGCCAUGCCGCGUGUAUGAAUAAGGCCUUCGGGUUGUAAAGUACUUUUAGCGGGGAGGAAGGGAGUAAAGUUAAUACCUUUGCUCAUUGACGUUAUCCGCAGAAGAAGCACCGGCUAACUCCGUGCCAGCAGCCGCGGUAAUACGGAGGGUGCAAGCGUUAAUCGGAAUUACUGGGCGUAAAGCGCACGCAGGCGGUUUGUUAAGUCAGAUGUGAAAUCCCCGGGCUCAACCUGGGAACUGCAUCUGAUACUGGCAAGCUUGAGUCUCGUAGAGGGGGGUAGAAUUCCAUGUGUAGCGGUGAAAUGCGUAGAGAUGUGGAGGAAUACCGGUGGCGAAGGCGGCCCCCUGGACAAAGACUGACGCUCAGGUGCGAAAGCGUGGGGAGCAAACAGG